GCAUUAAUGGGGUAGUGGCAACCUGGGUCGUUGCCAUCAAAAAAAUAUAGUCGAUUCCGUGCUUCUUCGACCCGCCGGGGGUUCGAUUCCCCCUUAAUGCA